UACGGGAGGCAGCAGUGGGGAAUAUUGCACAAUGGGCGAAAGCCUGAUGCAGCUAUGCCGCGUGUAUGAAGAAGGCCUUAGGGUUGUAAAGUACUUUCAUCGGGGAGGAAAAAAACAAAACUAAUAAUUUUAUUUCUUGACGUUACCCGAAAAAGAAGCACCGGCUAACUCCGUGCCAGCAGCCGCGGUAAUACGGAGGGUGCUAGCGUUAAUCAGAAAUUACUGGGCGUAAAGAGCACGUAGGUGGUUUUUUUAAGUCAGAUGUGAAAUCCCUGGGCUUAACCUAGGAACUGCAUUUUGAAACUGAAAUACUAGAGUAUCGUAGAGGGAGGUAGAAUUCUAGGUGUAGCGGUGAAAUGCGUAGAUAUCUGGAGGAAUACCUGUGGCGAAAGCGGCCUCCUAAACGAAUACUGACACUGAGGUGCGAAAGCGUGGGGAGCAAAACAGGGAUUAGAUACC
rnacentral:rRNA from 1 species